rnacentral:rRNA from 1 species
AGAGUUUGAUCAUGGCUCAGAACGAACGCUGGCGGCGUGCUUAACACAUGCAAGUCGAACGCGAAAUUUUUUCUUCGGAAGAAAGAGUAGAGUGGCGCACGGGUGAGUAACGCGUAAGUUAUCUACCCCGGCAUCUGGAAUAACUCACCGAAAGGUGUGCUAAUACCGGAUAUAUUGAGCAAUCAACAAAGGUGGCCUCUUCUAUGCUACCGUGUCGGGAUGAGCUUGCGUACCAUUAGCUAGUUGGUAGGGUAAUGGCCUACCAAGGCGACGAUGGUUAGCGGGUCUGAGAGGAUGAUCCGCCACACUGGAACUGGAACACGGACCAGACUCCUACGGGAGGCAGCAGUGAGGAAUAUUGGACAAUGGGGGAAACCCUGAUCCAGCAACGCCGCGUGAACGAAGAAGUCCUUCGGGAUGUAAAGUUCUUUUAAAUGGGAAGAAGAAAGUGACGGUACCAUAGGAAUAAGCCCCGGCUAACUACGUGCCAGCAGCCGCGGUAAGACGUAGGGGGCAAGCGUUACCCGGAAUCACUGGGCGUAAAGGGAGCGUAGGCGGCCUUUCAGGUUGUAUGUUAAAGACGACGGCUUAACCGGAGAAAUGCAUACAAAACCGAAAGGCUUGAGGAUAUCAGAGGAAAAGGGAAUUACCAUUGUAGGGGUGAAAUCCGUAGAGAGUGGUAAGAAUGCCGGUGGCGAAG